GGGGCUGUAGCUCAGUUGGAAGAGCAUCUGCUUUGCAAGUAGAAUGUCAGGAGUUCGAAUCUCCUCAGCUCCACCA
rnacentral:tRNA from 1 species